rnacentral:tRNA from 1 species
GAGGGUAUAGCUCAAUUGGUAGAGUGCUUGCUUCUCAUGCAUGAGGUCCUGGGUUCAAUCCCCAGUACCUCCA